GCUCAAUUGGUCAUCCCCUUAUCUCUCCCCUCUCGCUUUCGACAACAGCUGCGUUCUCGCUUUCGACAACAGCUGCGUUCUCGCUUUCGUCGGCGAGGGAAUCGCUACCGUCAUCCUCCUGGAUCCUCUCUCUACACCCCAAAGAUCUAUAUUGAGUUCUAUUGUUCUCUGAUAAUUGAAGCCAAAACCUAAACGCAAACACUAUGAGCUCGUUCACCAACACCUCCAAUUUUGACAAUCUCCUGCUUCAAACCCUAAUGGGCCGACUGCAAAUCCAUCCUCCAAAUUCUACCCACAAUCCCUUCCUCUCUCAGUCACUUGAGGACCUCCUCUUUGAUGCUGCAUACAAUAACUCUGAUAACUCUGAUGAUGAUUGCUCUGAUUCCAGAACCCAGCUCUCUAAAGAAGAAUCCAAGCUUGAGAAGGAAAUCAUUCGACUCAUCCUCUCAGGUAAGACUGAUUCAUUGAACCCCAACUCGGGUCAGGCAGUUACAAUUGGUGAACAUCACAUAUGUGUUGGGUUUCAUGAGGAAAAAGGAUCAGAUUAUCGAGUGUGGGAGUGGCAUGGACAUAUUAUGCUGUUUGAUGAAGAGAAUGGAUACACUCCUGAGUAUAUUUAUGGAAAUUACUUUGAGAGGCUGCAGGGUAAGGUGGCCAGAUCUGGCGGGGUUAGUAAGGUGGACAAGGAAGAGGAAGAGGAGGAGAAGGAAGAGGAGAAAAUGGGGAAUUUGGGGUUGAGAGAGUUGAUUGAUGGUGGGGAUUCUGGUGGUGCUCGAAUUCUUCAUAGGAAUAUCAAUGCUGGUUCUUCAAGGUUCGUUUAUAGAAAUCACUCCCUUUCGUAUUGUUUUGUCAUGUAUUUGUGCUUUCUACUGUUUAGGACUGCUUUUGUUAAUAAGUUUCUCAAUGUUGGGUUCAAACAACACUGCAUGGCUGCAUGAUUUGCCUGAAUCACUUAUCUGUUCCUAGGAAUAAUUUUAUUUCGUUUAUUUAUUUUUUGUAAAUAGUUGAAAGUCAAAACAUUUUCCAUUUUUGUUGUUUAUAAACCUGAAAAUGGUCUAUGAAUGUAAUUUUGCCAUAGUAAUUUGAAAUGUUGUUUUAGAUUUCUAUACUCUGUUAAAAACUUUGCUUUAUUAGGCUUCAUCAUCUUAUAUUAAUAAAUAUAGACGUUUAUAGAUUGUUUCCUGUUUCAUUCUGAGUUUCUGGCAUGAAUUAUUUUCCUUUCUUUUUCAUUUUUUAAGUUUUGUUGUGUGGAAGCCUUGCACACUGUGAGACGCUCUUUUGUGUA
rnacentral:misc_RNA from 1 species